GACGAACGCUGGCGGCGUGCCUAAUACAUGCAAGUAGAACGCUGAAGCUUGGUGCUUGCACCGAGCGGAUGAGUUGCGAACGGGUGAGUAACGCGUAGGUAACCUGCCUGGUAGCGGGGGAUAACUAUUGGAAACGAUAGCUAAUACCGCAUAAGAGUAGAUGUUGCAUGACAUUUGCUUAAAAGGUGCAAUUGCAUCACUACCAGAUGGACCUGCGUUGUAUUAGCUAGUUGGUGAGGUAACGGCUCACCAAGGCAACGAUACAUAGCCGACCUGAGAGGGUGAUCGGCCACACUGGGACUGAGACACGGCCCAGACUCCUACGGGAGGCAGCAGUAGGGAAUCUUCGGCAAUGGACGGAAGUCUGACCGAGCAACGCCGCGGGAGGGAAGAAGGUUUUCGGAUCGUAAAGCUCUGUUGUAAGAGAAGAACGAGUGUGAGAGUGGAAAGUUCACACUGUGACGGUAUCUUACCAGAAAGGGACGGCUAACUACGUG
rnacentral:rRNA from 1 species